rnacentral:rRNA from 1 species
GAUGAACGCUGGCGGCGUGCCUAAUACAUGCAAGUCGAGCGAACAGACGAGGAGCUUGCUCCUCUGACGUUAGCGGCGGACGGGUGAGUAACACGUGGAUAACCUACCUAUAAGACUGGGAUAACUUCGGGACACCGGAGCUAAUACCGGAUAAUAUAAUGAACCGCAUGGUUCAAUAGUGAAAGACGGUUUUGCUGUCACUUAUAGAUGGAUCCGCGCCGCAUUAGCUAGUUGGUAAGGUAACGGCUUACCAAGGCAACGAUGCGUAGCCGAGCUGAGAGGGUGAUAGGCCACACUGGAACUGAGACACGGUCCAGACUCCUACGGGAGGCAGCAGUAGGGAAUCUUCCGCAAUGGGCGAAAGCCUUACGGAGCAACGCCGCGCGAGUGAUGAAGGUCUUCGGAUCGUAAAACUCUCUUAUUAGGGAAGAACAAAUGUGUAAGUAACUAUGCACGUCUUGACGGUACCUAAUCAGAAAGCCACGGCUAACUACGUG